rnacentral:rRNA from 1 species
GAUGAACGCUAGCUACAGGCUUAACACAUGCAAGUCGAGGGGCAUCAUUAUCGAAGCUUGCUUUGAUAGAUGGCGACCGGCGCACGGGUGAGUAACGCGUAUCCAACCUUCCCCUUAGUAGGGCAUAGCCCGGCGAAAGUCGGAUUAAUACCCUAUGUUCUUCACAGCGGGCAUCUAACGUGAAGCAAAGAUUCAUCGCUAAGGGAUGGGGAUGCGUCUGAUUAGGCAGUCGGCGGGGUAACGGCCCACCGAGCCAUCGAUCAGUCGGGGUUCUGAGAGGAAGGUCCCCCACACUGGUACUGAGACACGGACCAGACUCC